rnacentral:rRNA from 1 species
GACGAACGCUGGCGGCGUGCUUAACACAUGCAAGUCGAACGCUGAAGCCCUGGCUUUUGUUGGGUUGGAUGAGUGGCGAACGGGUGAGUAACACGUGAGUAACCUGCCCUCUUCUUUGGGAUAACGCCCGGAAACGGGUGCUAAUACUGGAUAUUCACUGAUCUUCGCAUGGGGGUUGGUGGAAAGGUUUGUUCUGGUGGGGGAUGGGCUCGCGGCCUAUCAGCUUGUUGGUGGGGUGAUGGCCUACCAAGGCUUUGACGGGUAGCCGGCCUGAGAGGGUGGCCGGUCACGGUGGGACUGAGAUACGGCCCAGACUACUACGGGAGGCAGCAGUGGGGAAUAUUGCACAAUGGGAGAACGCCUGAUGCAGCGACGCCGCGUGAGGGAUGGAGGCCUUCGGGUUGUAAACCUCUUUCGCUCAUGGUCAAGCCGCAACUGUGGGUUGUGGUGAGGGUAGUGGGUAAAGAAGCGCCGGCUAACUACGUG